AGAGAGGUCGUCAGGAGUCCAGGAUCCAUUGCACCUCCUAGACUGGAUUAGCCUUCCUAUCGGUUAGUCUAUGGGUAACCAAGAGGGAGCAACCCUGGGCCAACGUUCUGCUAAGUGGAGCAAUUAGCAGGGGCAUUCCAUUGGUUUCCAUGGUGACUGCAUCACUUUUAGAACUUUACCCCAGAAUUAUUCUACACAAAAAACCUUCACCAUACUGCAAAUGUACUGGAAACGUUCCAGGUGGAUUUGCAAACACCUGUACAUAAUGUAUAGAUGGUACAGC